AGUGAACGCUGGCGGUAGGCCUAACACAUGCAAGUCGAACGGCAGCACAGUAAUAGCUUGCUCUUACGGGUGGGGAGUGGCGGACGGGUGAGGAAUACAUCGGAAUCUACUUUUUCGUGGGGGAUAACGUAGGGAAACUUACGCUAAUACCGCAUACGACCUACGGGUGAAAGCAGGGGAUCUUCGGACCUUGCGCGAUUGAAUGAGCCGAUGUCGGAUUAGCUAGUUGGCGGGGUAAAGGCCCACCAAGGCGACGAUCCGUAGCUGGUCCGAGAGGAUGAUCAGCCACACUGGAACUGAGACACGGUCCAGACUCCUACGGGAGGCAGCAGUGGGGAAUAUUGGACAAUGGGCGCAAGCCUGAUCCAGCCAUACCGCGUGGGUGAAGAAGGCCUUCGGGUUGUACAGCCCUUUUGUUGGGAAAGAAAAGCAGCAGGUUAAUACCCCGCUGUUCUGACGGUACCCAAAGAAUAAGCACCGGCUAACUUCGUG
rnacentral:rRNA from 1 species